CGCGUCUGAUUAGCUAGUUGGUAAGGUAACGGCUUACCAAGGCGACGAUCAGUAGCCGACCUGAGAGGGUGAUCGGCCACAUUGGAACUGAGACACGGUCCAAACUCCUACGGGAGGCAGCAGGGGGGAAUAUUGCACAAUGGGCGAAAGCCUGAUGCAGCAACGCCGCGUGAGUGAUGAAGGCCUUCGGGUCGUAAAACUCUGUCCUCAAGGAAGAUAAUGACGG
rnacentral:rRNA from 1 species